UACGUAGGGUGCAAGCGUUGUCCGGAAUUAUUGGGCGUAAAGAGCUCGUAGGCGGCUUGUCGCGUCGGCUGUGAAAACCUGGGGCUCAACCCCGGGCCUGCAUCGGGUACGGGCAGACCAGAGUGCGGUAGGGGAGACUGGAAUUCCUGGUGUAGCGGUGAAAUGCGCAGAUAUCAGGAGGAACACCGGUGGCGAAGGCGGGUCUCUGGGCCGUAACUGACGCUGAGGAGCGAAAGCAUGGGGAGCGAACAGGAUAGAUACCGGGU
rnacentral:rRNA from 1 species